GUUCAGAUAGUGUAUGUAACACGUGAGACUUUCAAACUCGAGAAAGAAUAGAUUCUUCUGAAUU
rnacentral:tRNA from 1 species